rnacentral:rRNA from 1 species
GAUGAACGCUGACAGAAUGCUUAACACAUGCAAGUCCACUUGAACUUCGGUUUGGGUGGCGGACGGGUGAUUAACGCGUAAAGAACUUUCCUCACAGAUAGGGACAACAUUUGGAAACGAAUGCUAAUACCUGAUAUUAUGAUUUUAGGGCAUCCUAGGAUUAUGAAAGCUAUAUGCGCUGUGAGAGAGCUUUGCGUUCCAUUAGCUAGUUGGGGAGGUAACGGCUCACCAAGGCUAUGAUGGGUAGCCGGCCUGAGAGGGUGAUCGGCCACAAGGGGACUGCGACACGGCCCUGACUCCUACGGGAGGCAGCAGUGGGGAAUAUUAGACAAUGGACCAAGAGUCGGAUCCAGGAAUUCUGUGUGCAAGAUGAAGUUUUUCGGAAAGUAAAGUGCUUUCAGUUGGGAAGAAAAAAAUGACGGGAACAAAAGAAGAAGUGACGGCUAAAUACGUGC